ACAUGGGGAAUGACUAGUUGCUUAAGCGUUCACGUUAGGGUCAUACAAUCAAUUACCUCCUGAAUGUAUCGUCUCUAUUUCUAAUAUCUGAAUACACAAGGAAACUAUAAUCUCUUCUUUCACCUUAUCGGUCUCUUCCUUACAAUAAUUCAGUCGUAUCAAUAACUACUAUUUCCACCAAUAUAUUCACCUUCAUAAUCUCCAACUGUAAUACUAUGCCCUCACAGCUUUCAUCACACAAUUACCUUCAUUCCAAUCACUGGAAUUCUUCACAUAGAAAUGCCAUUCACAUUAUCGUGUUUCACACAAACACAAACUCAUUCUCUCUGCUGAACUACAAUUAGAUUUCAGCAUUCAAUCUUUCUUCUUCUCAAAUAAUACCAAUCACAUUUCCAUUCCAUAAUUUACUUCACAAUAUUCAGAAACUCUCAAUCCUCUUAUUUAAAGAAAAUAACAAACAAAAGAAAAGAGGUAGCACCAAGCUUACCCUGGCUCACAACUAUCAAAGCGAUGGCACCUUAAUUAACUUCUACAACUCCUAUAUACUUUCCCCUGAUUCUCCAAAUUCUAACCAUAAUU
rnacentral:lncRNA from 1 species